rnacentral:rRNA from 1 species
GACGAACGCUGGCGGCGUGCUUAACACAUGCAAGUCGAACGGAAAGGCCCUGCUUUUGUGGGGUGCUCGAGUGGCGAACGUGUGAGUAACACGUGAGUAACCUGCCCUUGACUUUGGGAUAACUUCAGGAAACUGGGGCUAAUACCGGAUAGGAGCUCCUGCUGCAUGGUGUGGGUUGGAAAGUUUCGGCGGUUGGGGAUGUACUCGCGGCUUAUCAGCUUGUUGGUGGGGUAGUGGCUUACCAAGGCUUUGACGGGUAGCCGGCCUGAGAGGGUGAACGGCGACAUUGGGACUGAGAUACGGCCCAGACUCCUACGGGAGGCAGCAGUGGGGAAUAUUGAACAAUGGGCGGAAGCCUGAUGCAGCAACGCCGCGUGCGGGAUGACGGCCUUCGGGUUGUAAACCGCUUUCGCCUGUGACGAAGCGUGAGUGACGGUAAUGGGUAAAGAAGCACCGGCUAACUACGUG